AGAGUUUGAUCCUGGCUCAGGAUGAACGCUAGCGACAGGCCUAACACAUGCAAGUCGAGGGGCAUCGGGACGUAGCAAUACGUUGCCGGCGACCGGCGGAUGGGUGAGUAACGCGUAUGCAACCUACCCGUAGCAGGGGGAUAGCCCGUUGAAAGACGGAUUAAUACCCCGUAACACAGGGGCUCCGCAUGGAGAUUAUUGUUAAAGGGUCAUUUCUUUUUCAGGGAUGGUCCGGCUGCGGAUGGGCAUGCGUUCCAUUAGGUAGUUGGUGUAGGUAACUGCUCACCAAGCCGACGAUGGAUAGGGGAACUGAGAGGUUGGUCCCCCACACCGGAACUGAGACACGGUCCAGACUCCUACGGGAGGCAGCAGUGAGGAAUAUUGGUCAAUGGGCGCGAGCCUGAACCAGCCACGUCGCGUGAAGGAUGACGGCCUUAUGGGUUGUAAACUUCUUUUACAGGGGAAUAAAGUGAGUCACGUGUGAUUUUUUGCAUGUACCCUGUGAAUAAGCAUCGGCUAACUCCGUGCCAGCAGCCGCGGUAAUACGGAGGAUGCGAGCGUUAUCCGGAUUUAUUGGGUUUAAAGGGUGCGUAGGCGGGAUAUUAAGUCAGCGGUGAAAGUUUUCGGCUCAACCUUAAAAUUGCCGUUGAAACUGUUAUUCUUGAGUGCAGUAGAGGUAGGCGGAAUUCGUUGUGUAGCGGUGAAAUGCGUAGAUAUAACGAGGAACUCCGAUUGCGUAGGCAGCUUACUAUAUUGCUACUGACGCUGAGGCACGAAAGUGUGGGUAUCAAACAGGAUUAGAUACCCUGGUAGUCCACACAGUAAACGAUGAAUACUAGCUGUUUGCGAUAUAUUGUAAGCGGCCGAGCGAAAGCAUUAAGUAUUCCACCUGGGGAGUACGUCGGCAACGAUGAAACUCAAAGGAAUUGACGG
rnacentral:rRNA from 1 species